AGUGAACGCUGGCGGUAGGCCUAACACAUGCAAGUCGAACGGCAGCACAGUAAGAGCUUGCUCUUACGGGUGGCGAGUGGCGGACGGGUGAGGCAUACAUCGGAAUCUACUUUUUCGUGGGGGAUAACGUAGGGAAACUUACGCUAAUACCGCAUACGACCUACGGGUGAAAGCAGGGGAUCUUCGGACCUUGCCCGAUUGAAUGAGCCGAUGUAGGAUUAGCUAGUUGGCGGGGUAAAGGCCCACCAAGGCGACGAUCCGUAGCUGGUCUGAGAGGAUGAUCAGCCACACUGGAACUGAGACACGGUCCAGACUCCUACGGGAGGCAGCAGUGGGGAAUAUUGGACAAUGGGCGCAAGCCUGAUCCAGCCAUACCGCGUGGGUGAAGAAGGCCUUCGGGUUGUAAAGCCCUUUUGUUGGGAAAGAAAAGCAGCAGGUUAAUACCCCGCUGUUCUGACGGUACCCAAAGAAUAAGCACCGGCUAACUUCGUG
rnacentral:rRNA from 1 species